AAUUGUUGACCUAUGACUCGAGGCAUCCCUUGAAAUCAUCUGUCCUGCUGUUCCUUCUGGUAGUUUUGUACCAGAAACCCUACUGCCAUGUUUGACAAAUGCUCUGUCUGUCUCCCUUGUUUAUCCUGACUUUUGGAUCUUGCAAAUCCUUUAUCGCAGUGGCUAGUUUUAGAGAGAACCACUCAUGCUCCGAUUUGCUCAAUGGAGGCCAUGUCUCUUGAAGGAAGGCAGAUCUACAGUGAGAGGUUGGAAGAUUCAGAGAAGUUUCCCAUUUCAUUAACUGAAGUACAAAUGAAAAAUAGGAAGGCACUGAACUUUGCAGAGAGAUAUUUUGUUUAAUUUUGCAUUAUGUAAGGAUUGUAUAAUCUUGUAUAAACACAGGAAGAGAUGCCAAUUGUCCAGGUGCUCAGGUUUUGUAUGCAGAAUAGAAGCAUUUGCUUUGAAGUCUGGGAAUGUUUGGUUCUUCACCUUAUCUGAUCUGGCCUCCAUUUUAUUGUCGGAGGCAAAAAAGCUACACCCCCUGGCCUUCCCUUUCCUGCCAAAUCUCCCUGUUCUUCUCACUAGACAUUCUAGAAAUCCAGCCCCACCUACCCACCUCCAUCUCAGAGGGGUAUAAAUAAGCGUCUGCUUCCAUCCUGGGCUACACUUUGCAAGCUCCAGAGAAGAUUGUGAGAUGAAAACUCUGCUGCUGACCUUGGUGGUGGUGACAAUCGUGUGCCUGGACUUAGGAAAUACAGGAAACAGGUACGAAUAAAUGGGGACAAU